UACGUAGGGGGCAAGCGUUGUCCGGAUUUAUUGGGCGUAAAGAGCGUGUAGGCGGCCUGAAAGGUCAGCUGUGAAAACUCGAGGCUCAACCUCGAGACGUCGGUUGAAACCAUCUGGCUAGAGUCCGGAAGAGGAGUGUGGAAUUCCCGGUGUAGCGGUGAAAUGCGCAGAUAUCAGGAAGAACACCCGUGGCUAAGGCAGCUCUCUAGGACGGUACUGACGCUGAGACGCGAAAGCGUGGGGAGCGAACAGG
rnacentral:rRNA from 1 species